AACACGAACAACCACAUUUGUGGGGCUAUAGCUCAGCUGGGAGAGCGCUUGCAUGGCAUGCAAGAGGUCGACG
rnacentral:tRNA from 1 species